rnacentral:misc_RNA from 1 species
GAUGAAGAACGCAGUGAAAUGCGAUAAGUAGUGUGAAUUGCAGAAUUCAGUGAAUCAUCGAAUCUUUGAACGCACAUUGCGCCCAUUAGUAUUCUAGUGGGCAUGCCUGUUCGAGCGUCAUUUCAACCCUUAAGCCUCUGUUGCUUAGCGUUGGGAGCCUACCUACCCGGUAGAUCCUCAAAGUUAGCUGGCAGGGUCGAGGUUCGCCCUAAGCGUAGUAGUUCUUUCUCGCUUCUGCGGCUGCCUAGGCCAUCGCCACAAGCCUUUUAAACUUCAAUGGUUGACCUCGGAUCAGGUAGGAAUACCCGCUGAACUUAAGCAUAUCAAUAAGCGGAGGA